rnacentral:rRNA from 1 species
CGAAGGGGCUAGCGUUGCUCGGAAUUACUGGGCGUAAAGGGAGCGUAGGCGGACAUUUAAGUCAGGGGUGAAAUCCCGGGGCUCAACCUCGGAAUUGCCUUUGAUACUGGGUGUCUUGAGUAUGAGAGAGGUAUGUGGAACUCCGAGUGUAGAGGUGAAAUUCGUAGAUAUUCGGAAGAACACCAGUGGCGAAGGCGACAUACUGGCUCAUUACUGACGCUGAGGCUCGAAAGCGUGGGGAGCAAACAGGAUU